rnacentral:lncRNA from 1 species
UUUUUUGUUUUUUGUCUUUUUAGGGCCGCAUCUGCGACAUAUGGAGGUUCCCAGGCUAGGGGUCGAAUUGGAGCUAUAGCUGCCGUCCUACGCCACAGCCACAGCAAUGCUGGAUCCGAUCUACCCCAGAGCUCACGGCAAUGUCAGAUCCUUAACCCACUGAGCAAGGCCAGGGAUUGAACCCUCAUCCUCAUGGAUGCUAGUCAGAUCAUUUCUGCUGAGCCACAACGGGAACUCCUUGAGGGGACUUUUAAAGUUCUUUUUUUUUCAACAUUAUUUUGUAGGUAAUGAAGUUGAGACCCAGAGAAUCACUCUACAAGACAACCCUGAGUCAAAGAAGCCUCCAGAACCUGUUGGUCAUGACUUAUCACUGGUGGUCUUAGCACCAUAUAUGUGAAGAGCUGGAUAUAGAAUGUCCAAUGUAUGGACCGCUAUGGAGGUCACUAAAUGACAAGCUCCCAAAACUCUACUGCCAUAUUUACAAUUGUCCAGCGAUUCCCCCUCCAUUUCAUUCAAAGCUCAUUUUAAACUCUGCCUCCUCUAAAUAUGUUUAUUAAAGAGAUAUGCAGUUAAUGCAAUUUUUUUCUUCUUUUUUGGCCAUUCUGCUGUAUAUGGAGUUCCAGGGCCCGGGAUCAGAUCUACACCACAGUGCUGUGGCAAUGCCAGAUCCUUCAAUCCACCAUGCUGGGCCAGGGAUCAAACCUGUGUCCUGGUGCUAGAGAUGCCACGAUCCCAUUGUGCUGCAGUGGGAAAUCCUCAGUGCAAAUUUUAAGAAGGUAAAAUUGUACUCAUGUCAAAAACAUGAGUGACAAUCUGGAUAUCUACACUUUCAGGUAAACAAAAGUGAAUACUCCUUCUAGGUUGAAUCCCACAGCAAACUCCUGUGGAGCAAAGUUAACAAAUUUUAAAUUCCUAGAAGUUAAUCAUAUGAAGUGCAUAGCACAUUGUAGUCGAUCAAAGCUGUUGCAGUCAGUCAAAGGUUUGCCUCUAAGCGUCAGGCAACCAUAAGCUUCAUUCUUCUUGGUAGACAAGUCAGUGGUUCUCCAACUCAGUUUAGUCUCGCCAUGGUCAGUAUGUGAUUAUGUGGUCAAAACUCUCACUUUCAUUCACUUCAUGCAGAAAUCCAGCUGAGAACCUUAACAUUUCCUUUAAUAGGGAAAGUAGCUGACAUGCAAUGAUGAAUCAGUAAUAGAGCAUGAAGAUUACCCUACUUAACAUUCUUCAAUGGUUCCCUAGAGCCUUCAGGAUAAAGUCCAGACUUCUUAAACUGGCAAUCAUGGGCUUUCACGGGCUGAGCUUCAUCUAUCUUUCCAGCCCCAUUUCUCAGUCCUCCCCCUUUUUAGUCUCUGGCCCAAACAUGUUAAACUACUUUCAGUUCUCUGGGAAAAUCGAACUCUCAAUUCCCUCCACUUAAAAUGCCCUGCAUGUACCCUCCUGACUAGCUCCCACUCAUACUGCCAGGGCCCAUGCAGUGGCACACAUCCAUUCAGAAUGUUAUCAUGAGCUAAUUCAUGUCAACUACACCCCAGAUACAGGGACAAUCAAUCCACUUUCAGUGGGACAUCAACAUUUGCCUUUUCACCACUAAACUUUUGGUAAGUGUCUUUGUCAUCCAAUCAUUUCUUAAUCCCUGCAAACCUGCUUCCCCUAGCAUUACUCAACUGAAAAAAAGAAAAAAUUCAAGGUUACUAUUGUCCUCAUAAUCAUUUCAUUCGUUGGCAAUGGUUUUUUUUUCUCCCCCCAAAUACUAUGUUUUCUUAAGUUCUCUAAAGCCAUCUAGACUGCUAGUCACUCUAUGUUCACCAUCUCUUUCCUUUUGUGGCAUACAGUUUCCCUAGUUGUCUCAUUCUAAUUGUUCCUUUUCUGUGUCAUUUACUGGCUUCAAUUCUUCCUUUAAUUAAAGAUAUUUCUCUAAGUUCACUAGAUUCAAAACAUUAGCAUUAGGGAGCCUCCAAAUCACUUAACUCAUAAAACAAACUCAAAUUAUUUGUAUGUCCUAUUGAUUCUAGCUUCUUAGUGAAAAAGGAAGAACCCAGGGUCCAAUAAAAAGAGCAUUCAUUCUAGAGAUAAGCUUGGGUUCAGAUCUCAAGUAUGUCAUCAACUCUUGAGCACUGUGGCAUGGAAUAUAGCACUUAACCCAUUUGGGCAUCAGUUUCUCAUCUGUAAGUUGAAAAUAAUGACUUUCUUUUAGUAUCACUAUUCAAAUUGCAGAAUGCAAAGUGCAUAUUUCAAUGCUGGGUACAGAAGGGGACAUUCAAAGAAACCUACGCAUUUAGUAGUUAUUUCCACACUCACAUACCCCAAAUUUGUAGAGUAUCUCACUGUUCCAAUCCAUUUUUCAUACGUCACCAAAAGAUAAAUCUUAUAGAGUGCAUAUAUGAAUACAUUUUCUGGCUUAAUUGUUCCCAACUACUUACUGAAUCAGAGACCAAUUCCUAUUUAAGCAGAUUUUCAGAUUUUUAGCCCUAUCCUUCCUUUCUGCCCUUCUCCCUCACUGCCCUCCAGAAUGAUUACCAUUCUCCAAGCAAACCUGGACAUUUUGCGGUCCAAAGGUCCAGCUCAGAUUCUGCCUCCUUUAUGAUACUUAUUUCCCCAGCUGGGUAUUUUAUCCUGAGUUGUUUAUAGGUACGUCUCAUGAGUUGCAAUCCCUUUGAGGGAAGAAACUAGUUUCUCAUUCAUUCUCCUACUCAAUACUUUGCUAAGUGAUGGGGCAUUUUUUUGUUGUUGUUUUUUUGGCUGCAUCUGUAGCAUGCAGAAGUGACCCAGGCUGCUGCAGUGACAAUGUUGGAUAUAUAACUCACUGCACCACAAGGUAUAUCCUAUUUUUUAAAAAUACCAACUACACUUUUCCUCAAGGAAUUAUUUUCACUUCCUCAACUUCUCAUGAAGUGGUGGGAAUAGAAUAGAGAGGGAAGUAUGUAUGUAGGGUACUGAUAGAGGCACUGCUGGCUGAACUUCCACUUAGAAUUCUCCCAGCAGCAGCAGAAAGUCAGAGUUGAAACAGUCAUCCUAGAAAUUGACCAGGUAAGACUUUGAGAUCUGUUGGUCAAUUGCAAUCAACCAACCUCUUGGGAAACCCUUUAUCAAUUUGCUAAGAUUAUCAGUAUUUCUUUUCUUCCCCAGAGUUAUUUUUCUAACCUUUUAGUCUUCUCUUAAACCAAAGAGAAAACAAAAGUUUUCAUUUUAAGCCCACAGUUGAACACACAGGAAUAUACACACAUACAUUUGAUGUUAUUUUAUGCAUUAGUUUGUAUUUGAGAAUGUUAUUUCUUUAAAGUGAAAUUUCUUUCAACCUAAAUCUAAGACUAAAUUUUUAUAGGUAUAAUCUUCAGGCAGCACCUAAUAUAGUGCUUGGAUACAGUACAAAUUCACUAUUCAGUGGUUGAAAGAAGAAUGAACUUACAAGGCACAACUGCAGAAUUUAAUGUUGGUUAAUUGCUGUGGAAAAAUAAGAAAACAUACGGUCAGAGUGAGUGUGAUACUUGGAGGCUCAGCCCCUCAUCAGUACCAAUUAGGUAAAUCCUUGGGUGCCUAGUAAUGUACAAGGGUUUAAGUUAUCCCCCACCAAGUUUUUUUGAGAACAGAGAUAUCAUUUUAUUUUGUAUUACUUGUUACAGUGCCAAGUCUGAAGAUACUCUCUCAAGGGCAAAGGUAUCCAGAAAUCAGAAAUCUUGGAAGUUACAGUAUACAAGCAGAUUAGGUAUAGUUCACAUUUGCAAAAUUUUCAACUAACUCUUGUGAUCCUCAAUCACUCCAUAGCAUAAACAAAGUAUUCAAUUAUUUGUCUCAACUUAUGUAAGAUCACACUGCUGGCACUAAAAUCCAGUUCCAGACCCACUCUUCUUUCUACUGUUGAACAUGAUAGAAGCACAGAAUAGUAGAAAUGGAAGAAUCUUUAAAAAUUAUUCAACCUAAUUUUUUUUUUUUUUUUUU